rnacentral:rRNA from 1 species
UGAGUUUGAUCCUGGCUCAGGAUGAACGCUGGCGGCGUGCCUAACACAUGCAAGUCGAACGAACCUUGGGGAACAGAUUACUUCGGUUUGAAGUUCCCCGCUGGUUAGUGGCGGACGGGUGAGUAACGCGUGGGUAACCUGCCGUAUGCAGGGGGAUAACAGUUAGAAAUGACUGCUAAUACCGCAUAAGCGCACAGUAUCGCAUGAUACAGUGUGAAAAACGAUAGUGGCAUACGAUGGACCCGCGUCUGAUUAGCUAGUUGGCGGGGUAACGGCCCACCAAGGCGACGAUCAGUAGCCGGCCUGAGAGGGUGAACGGCCACAUUGGAACUGAGACACGGUCCAAACUCCUACGGGAGGCAGCAGUGGGGGAUAUUGCACAAUGGGGGAAACCCUGAUGCAGCGACGCCGCGUGAGUGAAGAAGUAUUUCGGUAUGUAAAGCUCUAUCAGCAGGAAAGAUAAUGACGGUACCUGACUAAGAAGCACCGGCUAAAUACGUGCCAGCAGCCGCGGUAAUACGUAUGGUGCAAGCGUUAUCCGGAUUUACUGGGUGUAAAGGGAGCGCAGACGGCAUGGCAAGCCAGAUGUGAAAGGUGGGGGCUCAACCCCCAAGCUGCAUUUGGAACUGUCAAGCUAGAGUAUCGGAGAGGUAAGUGGAAUUCCUAGUGU